CCUACGGGUGGCAGCAGUGGGGAAUAUUGCACAAUGGGGGAAACCCUGAUGCAGCGACGCCGCGUGAGUGAAGAAGUAUUUCGGUAUGUAAAGCUCUAUCAGCAGGGAAGAAGAAAGACGGUACCUGACUAAGACGCCCCGGCUAACUACGUGCCAGCAGCCGCGGUAAUACGUAGGGGGCAAGCGUUAUCCGGAUUUACUGGGUGUAAAGGGAGCGUAGACGGCUGUGCAAGUCUGAAGUGAAAGCCAAGGGCUCAACCCUGGGACUGCUUUGGAAACUGUGGAGCUAGAGUGCUGGAGAGGUAAGUGGAAUUACUAGGGUAGCGGUGAAAUGCGUAGAUAUUAGGAGGAACACCAGUGGCGAAGGCGGCUUACUGGACAGUAACUGACGUUGAGGCUCGAAAGCGUGGGGAGCGAAAGGGAUUAGAUACCCUUGUAGUC
rnacentral:rRNA from 1 species